AGGAACCAGAUGAAUGUGCUUGAGCUAAACAAGACAGACUACGAGAGCUGCAAUACUGAUCAUCCUCUCCACAAUUGGACUACUGGAGCAGGAAGGGACGUUGUUCCGCUUAAUGUGACUAAAACCUACUAUUUCGCUAGUGGAAAAGGAUACUGUUAUGGAGGCAUGAAAGUGGCUAUUCAUGUUGAAAAGGCACCUCCACCUCCAAAAGCUGCUCCAGUACGCAGCAGUUCAACAAAUUUGCUCAACUCAUUUAAAGCACAGAUAAUGAUACCAGCUCUUUUCGCAACCGCUGCUGUGUGGGAUGCAUUUCUUCUGCUCUGGUAGGAUGGUUAAGUGAACCAUACAUGCUGGAUGCUUCAGAUAAUUAGUUAAACCAAGUGUCAAGAAAGUGUUUAGAUUUAUUUUUUGUGUGCUUGUAUUUUCUUUUUUCUUGAAAGUUACCAUCUUUUUUUUUUUUACCACCAAGUGCCAUUAUCAUUUGACCUGAAAAUCAAUUUUUUAUUUCAGAUCAAAUUGGUGUGUGGGGGUUGAUCUGAAAAUUUUGUUUAUUUAUGUUGUUACCUAAACAAGUUUACAAUUGUUUCAUUGGAGAAAUUG
rnacentral:misc_RNA from 1 species